rnacentral:rRNA from 1 species
GAUGAACGCUGGCGGCGUGCCUAAUACAUGCAAGUCGAGCGAACAGACGAGGAGCUUGCUCCUCUGACGUUAGCGGCGGACGGGUGAGUAACACGUGGAUAACCUACCUAUAAGACUGGGAUAACUUCGGGAAACCGGAGCUAAUACCGGAUAAUAUAUAGAACCGCAUGGUUCAAUAGUGAAAGACGGUUUUGCUGUCACUUAUAGAUGGAUCCGCGCCGCAUUAGCUAGUUGGUAAGGUAACGGCUUACCAAGGCAACGAUGCGUAGCCGACCUGAGAGGGUGAUCGGCCACACUGGAACUGAGACACGGUUCAGACUCCUACGGGAGGCAGCAGUAGGGAAUCUUCCGCAAUGGGCGAAAGCCUGACGGAGCAACGCCGCGUGAGUGAUGAAGGUCUUCGGAUCGUAAAACUCUGUUAUUAGGGAAGAACAAAUGUGUAAGUAACUAUGCACGUCUUGACGGUACCUAAUCAGAAAGCCACGGCUAACUACGUG